GCAGGCCAUCAGCAGCCUCCGCCGCCCGCGCCGCCGGAAGCACAGGCGGGGCGCCGGGCCCGGGCGGCCUUGGAUGUGCGCAGGCGCAGGCCAAGCCUGUUGGGGGAAGACAGGGGCGGUCGGAGGUUCUGCGGCCCGCGGCUGCCCUCUCGUGGCACUUGGGCGCUACGGCAUGGGCGCUUCCGCCCAACCCCGGGAGCCCAGCCAAGCGCUGUGUUUUUCCAGGUCCGCGCAGGGCCAGGGGAACCCUGCGUGUUUGUUUGAUGGGAAUGGAUUACUGGAAAGCUAGACGGAAGGUACCCUGUAAACCGGCAGCUCCCAACUCCAUCCCAUUGAUGGAUAUCAUCCAGUGCCACCAGAGGGGCUGUGAGUGCCUGGAUUUUUGGUGGGAGGACAACAACUUCAGGAACAGGAACCAACAAAGGUCUCCCACUUUUGCAGAAGUCAUGCAUUGCGUUAGAGGCUAUUUCCUUUCUCUAGGCUCUGAACAUUUGCCCAGGCUGCAGAUGCUGGGAGUUUGCUCUAUGACCCCACCACACUUGUUCUGCUUAGGGUAUCAAAGCUCUUUGUGACCGAGGUUACCGUAAAGAUUUCCUGUGGAGGGAGACACCAGGGACAGAGCAUGCAUCUGGAAGUCUCACAGCGUGGACUCUGUGUGGUGACACUGCAGUUCCAUGUUCUUCAAGAAAUGUCUAGACUGGAUGACCUCAUUGGAGAUCUUCUGGCACAAAGCCCUUUUCACACAGCAAACUGAGACCCAGAGAGGGGAAGUGACUGGCCCAGGUCACUCAGCAAGUUGGUGGCCGAGCUGGAAUUAGAUCUCAGGUCUCCUGACAUCCGGUUCUGUCAUUAAUUACGCACAGUUGUUGAGGACCUACUAUAUGCCAGGCACUCUGCUGGGCACUGGGAUACAGCUGUGAACAAAAUGAAGAGCCUGCAUACAGCUUAGAUGCUCUGGUGUUUAUGUGGGGAGAUGGUGGGUAAGCAAAUAAACAAAUGUAUCCCAUAAUGCCAUGUAGUUAGGAUCACUAGGAAGCUCUGUGCUCCUCGUCCUCUGUCUUUGGAAGGAAGGGGUUAGAGGCUUGGGAGAUGCUCCCUUACGUGUUCACUCAUUAAGUAAAUAUCAGUGAGGCCCCACUGUGUGUUGGGUGCUGUGGCGACACACACGCAUAAGAGCAGGAUCUGCUUUCAAAAGCGUGCCGCUCAGUGGGCAGAUGGGGCAUGCCUCUUAGCAUCGUCUUUACAUGUAUGGCUAUUGUUUUUAUGCUCCUUGUUGUUCUCUCCUGGUCUCUUCCCAAGAGGAGGCUUGUAGAAAACUCUGAUCCUGAAGUGGUGUAAAUCCCUUCCCCAAAAGGCUUCUGGAAUCCAAUCGCUGCUACUGACUUAUUGAUGGACAUCAUCCAGUGACCUGGGGAGGCGGUGGGCAGCCCAGCCACAGCCUGUGAUAAGGAGAGACAACCCAGCAUCCGCCCUGCAGUGAAUAAUAGAACAAAAAGCUGCCGGCGCCUGCAGGAUCAAAGCGCAGGGGUGGUGGUGUCUCUGGGUUAAAUACAUCAGCAGAGGGGGCUGGAGCAGGUGGUGGACGCAGCUGGGAGGGAAGUCUGGGGUGUGGAGGAACCUUCAGCGGGAGAAAGGAUUUCUGUGCCUUACAAGAAGGUCUCCUGUGGCUCUCUUCUGUACCUUCCCUGGAGACCGAGGACUCUUCCCUCCACCCUCCCUCUCCACCACCCCCACCCCCACAGCCUAAAGAGAUGGAACGGCUGAGGCAGGAGGCAAGGGGGAAAAGCGUGCUGUACUAGGAGGCAGGAGACACUGGACCCCUGAGCUUAGGCGUCGCUGAAUUAUUUCCUAGGACACAGUCCCCUGUUCUGUAAAACGAGGAGGUUGAAAUAUGGUCUAGAACUUUCUUCCUGCUUUCAUAAACUGUAUUUUUCCGAAAAGAGGCAAAGAAGAUCUAUUACUUAGGGUCCCUGUCCAGUUACUUCUAGGCCAGGCAGAGAGAUCGCCAUAGCUGUCCUGGGCUCCUCCUCAAACUCAGUGUGUAAGCCCCCAUUUCUCCAGGGGGCGGGAGGGACCCAUAGGGGGGCAUGUGGAGGGACUGUAUUAUUUAUUCCCUCAUUCCACAUGCUCCCACUUGCCAUUGGAGAAACCAGAAGCUGCCUUAGAGUAAUUUUUUUUGGAUGAAUGAUUCCUGGGAUUUUUACCUUAAAAGAAUUUUUAAGACGUUAAUGUUAGUAUUGGUGUCUUUAAAUAUAUACGCAGUUCUAGAGUGGAAGACCCGGGUGGUAUGUGAUGUUCUGGGGAUCUUUGCAGAUGUUUAUCUCAGUCAAGAAGAUGCCCAGGGUUCUUAACACACUUUGAGAACCACACCCUGACCGUUCCUUGUGAACGUGUGUGUGUGUGUGUGUGUGCACGUGCAGGUGAGUGUCCAUGCAUGUGUGUGUGUGUAUGUCUGUGUGUGUGUGCCUGUGCCCUGAGUCAGCCUGAGUCCUGGGCCUUUUGUCUUUCCUCCUGAAUAAGCCAAAGGAGGAGGUCAGUGUAUAAUUAGAGGAAGAAAUGUGUCAGUCAGGAAAUAACCCAUUUUACUAGUGGAAAGUUAUUGAAAGCCCAUCCUUUUGUGUGUGAGCACCGGGGCCUGUAGGCAGAUGAGGAAUCUCAGAACAGAGUGGGAAGAUAAACCAGACCAAUAUUAAAGGCAAAAACUCCCAUGUUUGAUAUAAACCCAAGAUUCACGCAUGGAACCCAAUGCAGGUCCACCCAGACAGAGCACAUAGGGUGCACACACAUGCACAGCUCCACACGGGCACUGCACAGACAGACCUGUGGGAUGGCACCCCUGCACACGCAUGUACACUGAACAUCCUCACAGAUACAUUCAGUAUAGGGGAGGGACCCAGGGUUAUGGGUUCAACUGUGUCCCCCAAAAUAUGCUCAAGUCCUAACCCCUGGUACCAGUGAAUAUGACCUUAUUUGGAAGUUGGGUCUCUGCAGUGUAAACAGGUUUAGAUGCGGUCAUACUGGAGUGGAAUGGGCCCUGAUCCAAUGUGAUUGGUGUCCUUACAUAAAGAGGAAAAUUUGGAUGUAGACAGAGGGAGGAUGGAGUCAGAGACUGGAGUGAUGCUGCCACAAGCCAAGGAAGGCCUUGGGCUCCCAGAAGCUGGAAGAAGCGAGAAGAGAUCCUUCUCUAGGGAUGGACGCUGGAGGGACCAUGGUCCUGCAGUGCCUUGAUUUGCACUUCUAGCUCCAGAACUGUGAGACAAUAAAUCUCUGUUGUUUUAAGCCCCUCAGUCUGUGGUGCUGUGUCCCGGAAGAUGAAGACAACAGAUUCGUAGACUAUGUGGUGCAUGUCUACACCCAGGAUGCAUAGGACCUUUGGCACAGGCAGCAAGAGAUACUCAGGUCAUAUAGACUUCCCCUGCUCCUCUGCUCCCUUCCGCCAGCCUCAGCCUUCUUUCUUCUUGACCUCAUUCCCUACAGUGGCCUGAGAUCACCCCCACCAUCACCACAGCAGCCAACAUUUAUUGAGCACUUUCCUCUCUGCUGAGCACUAGUCUAAACGCUUAAGGUUAGUUAACCGAAUCUUCACAACAACUCUAGGUGUUGUCCCCAUUCACGGAUGAGGAAACUGAGGCACAGAGAAGUUGAAUAACUUGCCCAAGUAAGUGGGGGCAGAGAACUGGGAAUUUGGUGUAGAUCCUGCUUGUGUCUGCCACACCAGGGAAACGACUCUUUUCUCGGGAUUCUGUUAAGGACUGUGUUCCAAGUAAUACCUGGGGUGUCAGUCGCCUGCUUUAUGGGUCCUGAGCUGUGAUGUCCACAGCUAGACCUCUGACACAAAGGUCUCCUCUCCACCUCCACCUCAGUCUGUCAGACCUGCAAUGAGCUGUUUGAAGCAGUAGGAGCAGGGGGGGGACAACAUGGGCUCAGAGCAUCCAUCCCCCUCCUCCUUGACUUCUUGUUUUGAUUGAGGAAUAUUUUCGUACCAUAAGAUGCGCACAUUUUGAAGUGUACAGUUGGAUGAGAUUUAGGAAUAUAACCACCACUCCGAUUACAAAAGACCAUUUCUGUCACCACAGAAAGUUCCCUUGUGCCCCUUCAAAGUCGAUUGCCAUCUCCACCCCAGGCGACACUUGAUCCCAUUUCUACCACUGUAGAUUAACUUUGCGUGUUCUCUAACUUCACAUACGUGGAAAUACAUAAUACGUGCUUUUUUACGUAUGUGGCUCCUUUUACUCAGCAUGAUGUUUUUGAGAUUGAGGCUUGUAGUUACAUAUGCCAAUAGUUAUUCUUUUCUUUGUUGCUGAGUAGUAUUCCAUUGAAUGGGUGUACUCCCAUUUGUUUAUCCAUCCACCUGUUGAUAGACAUUUAGGUCAUUUGCCACCUUGGCUAUUACAAAUAAAGUUACUGUGAACAUCUG
rnacentral:lncRNA from 1 species